AAAUUAAUGGCUAUUAAUAACUAGAUGGCGCUACUUGUCAUUGUUUACAUUGUCAUUGUCAAAAUGCUUGAAAGUUGUGUUUAACAAAUUUGUUAUUUUUUUGUGUAAAAUCGGCUUAAUUGAUUGUGGUGAGUAUCGUUUCGAAGUUAUUUCGAUGUUUUCUUCAUUUUAGAAACUUAUUUUUAUGUAAAAACUUUAAUCGACAAAAUUCGUUUUAAAUGAAGCACAAAGAGAACAAUAUCAUUGAUUAAGAAGAGAUGACACCUCAGUGUUUAGGAUCAACUUUAAAGUUCACUUAAAGGUGAAAUUAUUAAAAUGAAAGUCCGUUUGGGAUUGCUUGAAUGAUUAUUUUUAAGUGUGUGCGCUUAAAGAAAGCGUUUAGAUUAAAUCGGGGCGUUUGGAGACGGCUCAAAAGAUUGGAGAGACGAAUUUGGCUCUAUUUGGAAGCGACCCACGCGGUUAAAUUAAUAGGAUUCUCUGAUUUCGAAGAAUAUUUUCCAAAUUUGAAUCAUUUCUUCUUUAUUAAUACUCGUGACCUCAAUGAUGUUGUUACAAAGUAUGAUAAGUUCUAAAAUAUAACUUGGUUAAUCAGCUGAGGCAUUUGGUUUAUGUUGUUAGUGUAUAUUGUUGAUAUUUCUGACCCUUUUAGUAUUGAUAAUGACGAAGAACACUUUGUGGAAUAUGACAUAACACUCAGAUUAAGCAAAGUAGAGACUGAGAGAAGAAUGUAACACAUUUUCCUUAAGAAUUUACAACGUGGUCAGUUUAUCUACUAAUCUGGUGCUUCAUCUAUUAUGGUAGUGUUUUUCGAAAAUCUCAUAAUACACCAAGAUUGAUAAACCAAGUUGGUUUAUUUUUAAAUCUAAUCUCUUUUUUUAGAAAGAAUCUCGACCACCUGUCAAAAACAUCUGUCCCUCUUCACAUCGAGCCGUAAAAAAAUAUAGAGAAAAUAGGAGGUGGGCGGUCGAAAAAAGGGGGCGAAAACAACGUAGGGGACGAAAUCGGGAAAAAGAGUCACGCCCUCGAACCCCCACCGAUAACAACCCUUGGAAAAUAAAUUCAACGUGAAACGGAAAAAUUUUAUUUGAAAUACUUCACAGAAGACGAUAUUGAUGAAAUUGAAGCACCGAGACAAUGCUGUGUAUAUACAAAAGAGACGGAGGCUGAGGGAGGCCAAGGCUCGAUAUGGGCUGUAGAGCCAUAAAUGAAUGAUGUCCAGUAUAUAAAAGUUAGUAGAUUUAAUACUUGCUAUAUUCUUUGUAUUAUUAUUUGUUAAUCAACUUUGGGUUGAUAUGGUGCUUAGUAUACAUUUAGCCGAGGUCGCUUGCGGCCGAGGCAUGGGAUGUGUUGACCAAUUUCGAAUGGAUUUGACUUUAAUUGCAUCGCCUUAAUUGCAGAUGAUCUCAGUUUCAUCAAGCUAAAUAACACAUUCGAUGCUUCUAGCUUUGCCGAGGUCGCUUGCGGCCGAGGCAUUACAUUAUUUGUUAACCAACUUUGGGUUGA